AUACUUACCUUGUCUGACUUUCGGGAGCUCAAGAAUUCUCGGAAGUAGGUUGGGAAGCCUGCAUUGCACAUCGUGGAGCUGACCAGUCUGGUUUGUCCUUCGGGGCCGACCUGGGCGCAAUUUUUGAUACAAAUCAGCUCGCUGAUCA
rnacentral:snRNA from 17 species